UACGUAGGGUGCAAGCGUUGUCCGGAAUUAUUGGGCGUAAAGAGCUCGUAGGCGGUCUGUCGCGUCUGCUGUGAAAACUCAGGGCUUAACCCUGAGCUUGCAGUGGGUACGGGCAGACUAGAGUGCGGGUAGGGGAGACUGGAAUUCCUGGGUGUAGCGGUGAAAUGCGCAGAUAUCAGGAGGAACACCGGUGGCGAAGGCGGGUCGCUGGGCCGUAACUGACG
rnacentral:rRNA from 1 species